rnacentral:rRNA from 1 species
AGUGAACGCUGGCGGUAGGCCUAACACAUGCAAGUCGAACGGCAGCACAGUAAGAGCUUGCUCUUACGGGUGGCGAGUGGCGGACGGGUGAGGAAUACAUCGGAAUCUACUUUUUCGUGGGGGAUAACGUAGGGAAACUUACGCUAAUACCGCAUACGACCUACGGGUGAAAGCAGGGGAUCUUCGGACCUUGCGCGAUUGAAUGAGCCGAUGUCGGAUUAGCUAGUUGGCGGGGUAAAGGCCCACCAAGGCGACGAUCCGUAGCUGGUCUGAGAGGAUGAACAGGCAAACCGGAACUGAGAAACGGUCCAGGCACCUUAGGGAAGGAGGAGGGGGGGAUUUUGGACAAAGGGCGCAAACCUGGUCCAACCAAAACCGGUGGGUUGAGGAAGGCCUCGGGUUGUAAAACCCUUUUGUUGGGAAAGAAAAGCAGCAGGUUAAUACCCCGCUGUUCUGACGGUACCCAAAGAAUAAGCACCGGCUAACUUCGUG